rnacentral:rRNA from 1 species
UUGGAGGGCAAGUCUGGUGCCAGCAGUCGCGGUAAUUCCAGCUCCAAUAGCGUAUAUUAAAGUUGUUGCAGUUAAAAAGCUCGUAGUUGAAUUUCGGGAUUGACGUGACGGUCAUGCCUUAAGGGGUAUGAACUGUUACUGUUGAUUUCUCACCUUCUGGAGAAACUUGAUGUCCUUUAUUGGGUGUCUUGCGGAUCCAGGACCUUUGCCUUGAAAAAAUUAGAGUGUUUAAAGCAGGC